UGGUUUUGAGAAAAGGAAAAAGGAUUAUUGUAGUGCUUGCACUUUCUAAAAAUGACCAAGCAAUUGUUUUUCCCUAAUCUCAAUUUGAUACAAGCCUUUAAUUCUUUCAAAAAAGAGAAGAAGCUUUUAAUCUAAAUUUGAAAGGUAAAUUCAUGUUAAGCUUGAAAAGGGGGGAAAACAAAUCAAUUUCUAAAUUUUGAAUGUAUGACUUGAUUUUGAUGAUUUUUUUUU
rnacentral:lncRNA from 1 species